rnacentral:rRNA from 1 species
UACAGAGGGUGCGAGCGUUAAUCGGAAUUACUGGGCGUAAAGCGCACGUAGGCGGCGGGGUAAGUCAGGUGUGAAAUCUCGGGGCUCAACCCCGAAACUGCACUUGAUACUGCCUCGCUUGAGUACUGGAGAGGAGACUGGAAUUUACGGUGUAGCAGUGAAAUGCGUAGAUAUCGUAAGGAAGACCAGUGGCGAAGGCGAGUCUCUGGACAGUUACUGACGCUGAGGCACGAAGGCCAGGGGAGCAAACGGG